rnacentral:sRNA from 1 species
GUUACUUAACACCUAACAACAAACUGUUGUUCCUGCUGUGGAAGUUGACUGUUGAAUGAGUUAGGUAUUGGAGCAUCUCACAGGAUCCUGUGAUAAUCUAUCCAAGCAGCCUGUGAGAAAAGGAAAAGAAAGGGAAACAGAAAAGGAUAUAAUCUGGAAUUAAAGAUCAAUCUAGCUGGUUUCAGUGGCUCACACCUGUGAUCCCAGCACUUUGGGAGACCGAGUCAGGCAGAUUGUGUGAGCCCCAGGAGUUUGAGAUUAGCCUGGGCAAUAUGGCAAAACCCCAUCUCUACAAAAAGUACAAAAAUUAGGUGGGUAUGGUGGUGUGUGCCUGUAGUCCCAGCUACUCGGGAGGCUGAGGUGGGAGGAUCACCUUAGCCUGGGGAGGUCGAGGUUGCAGUCAGUGAGCCAUGGUGGUACCACUGCACUCCAGCCUGGGUGACAGUGAGACCCUGUCUCAAAAAAAGAAAAAAAAAAAAAGAUUAUUGCUGAUUUCAGUUCUGGGAGGAGGCUCCCAAAAAGUUUAAUAUUAAUACUUAGGCAGUAUCUUUUGGAGCAGGAAUAUGCAAGACAAAUUAUAGAUUUUUCUGAGUGUAGGGAUGCAAUAGAUGAAGAAUCAAAAACUUCAGAGAUUUAGAAACAUUUGCUUAGUGUGACCUGGGAAUUUGAAACAGAACUGUUCUGAAUUAUGGCUGCAGUUGGGAGUUUUCUCAGCAGAUGUCUGAGAUGUGGGUAGUAUUUGGAUCCCACGUAGGGUCCAUUCUCAUUUCUUUCACAUUGCUGACUUUCUUCCAGACCUCUAUUGCUGAGUGCUUGACAUACCUUGAUAAUGGUGUUGUGUUUGUCGGGUCUCGCCUGGGUGACUCCCAGCUUGUGAAGCUCAACGUUGACAGUAAUGAACAAGGCUCCUAUGUAGUGGCCAUGGAAACCUUUACCAACUUAGGACCCAUUGUCGAUAUGUGCGUGGUGGACCUGGAGAGGCAGGGGCAGGGGCAGCUGGUCACUUGCUCUGGGGCUUUCAAGGAAGGUUCUUUGCGGAUCAUCCGGAAUGGAAUUGGAAUCCACGAGCAUGCCAGCAUUGACUUACCAGGCAUCAAAGGAUUAUGGCCACUGCGGUCUGACCCUAAUCGUGAGACUGAUGACACUUUGGUGCUCUCUUUUGUGGGCCAGACAAGAGUUCUCAUGUUAAAUGGAGAGGAGGUAGAAGAAACCGAACUGAUGGGUUUCGUGGAUGAUCAGCAGACUUUCUUCUGUGGCAACGUGGCUCAUCAGCAGCUUAUCCAGAUCACUUCAGCAUCGGUGAGGUUGGUCUCUCAAGAACCCAAAGCUCUGGUCAGUGAAUGGAAGGAGCCUCAGGCCAAGAACAUCAGUGUGGCCUCCUGCAAUAGCAGCCAGGUGGUGGUGGCUGUGGGCAGGGCCCUCUACUAUCUGCAGAUCCAUCCUCAGGAGCUCCGGCAGAUCAGCCACACAGAGAUGGAACAUGAAGUGGCUUGCUUGGACAUCACCCCAUUAGGAGACAGCAAUGGACUGUCCCCUCUUUGUGCCAUUGGCCUCUGGACGGACAUCUCGGCUCGUAUCUUGAAGUUGCCCUCUUUUGAACUACUGCACAAGGAGAUGCUGGGUGGAG